UAGGGAAUCUUCGGCAAUGGACGAAAGUCUGACCGAGCAACGCCGCGUGAGUGAAGAAGGUUUUCGGAUCGUAAAACUCUGUUGUUAGAGAAGAACAAGGAUGAGAGUAAAACGUUCAUCCCUUGACGGUAUCUAACCAGAAAGCCACGGCUAACUACGUGCCAGCAGCCGCGGUAAUACGUAGGUGGCAAGCGUUGUCCGGAUUUAUUGGGCGUAAAGCGAGCGCAGGCGGUUUCUUAAGUCUGAUGUGAAAGCCCCCGGGCUCAACCGGGGAGGGUCAUUGGAAACUGGGAAACUUGAGUGCAGAAGAGGAGAGUGGAAUUCCAUGUGUAGCGGUGAAAUGCGUAGAUAUAUGGAGGAACACCAGUGGCGAAGGCGGCUCUCUGGUCUGUAACUGAC
rnacentral:rRNA from 1 species